AGAUAAGUCUCUUGCUGCUACUAUUACAAAAGCGAAAUUCAUCAUAGGAUAUAGAUCGUGCGGGUCUCCACUUGAGAAGGAGGACAGUAACACUGAAAGUAUACUCUUCGUAGAUUCGACGCAGACAAAAGAGGAGAAAAAUUUCUAAAAUAUUACCGUACAGAUUGUAAGACUGUGAAGUAUGAAGCAGAUGCACGUACGACCUAGAAGAGAAA